GAUGAACGCUGGCGGCGUGCCUAAUACAUGCAAGUCGAGCGAACAGACGAGGAGCUUGCUCCUCUGACGUUAGCGGCGGACGGGUGAGUAACACGUGGAUAACCUACCUAUAAGACUGGGAUAACUUCGGGAAACCGGAGCUAAUACCGGAUAAUAUAUUGAACCGCAUGGUUCAAUAGUGAAAGACGGUUUUGCUGUCACUUAUAGAUGGAUCCGCGCCGCAUUAGCUAGUUGGUAAGGUAACGGCUUACCAAGGCAACGAUGCGUAGCCGACCUGAGAGGGUGAUCGGCCACACUGGAACUGAGACACGGUCCAGACUCCUACGAGAGGCAGCAGUAGGGAAUCUUCCGCAAUGGGCGAAAGCCUGACGGAGCAACGCCGCGUGAGUGAUGAAGGUCUUCGGAUCGUAAAACUCUGUUAUUAGGGAAGAACAAAUGUGUAAGUAACUAUGCACGGCUUGACGGUACCUAAUCAGAAAGCCACGGCUAACUACGUG
rnacentral:rRNA from 1 species